GCAAGAGCAGUUACCGGAGCCCAUGCACAACUACUUCAUGCAUCUUCUUCUUCUUCUUCCUCUUCCUCCUCCCUCCUUUACUUGUUCUGACCUUUCUCCGUGCUUUUCCUUUGCGGUUGCAGGGAAUUUUGGCGACCUCGGAAGAGCAGGAAGGGACUCAUGAGACGGGGCACCGAGAUUGACAUCUGCAUGCUGCUGAAUGACAGAUUAAUGCCGGUCGGAAGAAGGUCUGCUUCAUAUCUACAAUGGCGUGUUGCUCACCGUUGAGGCCCGCUUCCGCUGUGCCUCCGGUGGACAUCCUCGGGGAAGCCGAAGUCGGCGCCUAACUUUGGGAUCAACUCAUGCGAAGCCAAAACCAGCGAGCGAGGAAGAAGAUGGCAGGUCUGAGCCAAGCAAGCCCAACCGGUUCUCCCACUACAGGCCCUCCCAAGUGGCUCGCUCAUGGCCAUGGCCGUGUCCUCUACCCCCUCUUCACCAUCCUCAACAUCGUCCUCAUACUCCUCCUCUACUACUACCUCUGGCGGAUAUUCUGCAGAAGGUCUCAGCGGUUGAGUGACGCCGCCGCCGCUGCCGCCGCCGCUUCUUCCUCCACCGCCAGCUCUCCCUCGCCCUCCCUGCGCAACGACAGGGUUAACCCUGACGUCCUCUCGUCGCUACCGGACUUCCUCUACUCCGCGUCAGGGGAGGAGAAGCAGGAGUGCGUAGUGUGCUUGUCGGAGUUCAAAGAUGGCGACAAAGGGAGGCUGCUGCCGAUAUGCGGCCAUAGGUUCCACGCCGACUGCAUCGACAUGUGGUUUCGGUCACAGGCCACCUGCCCCAUCUGCCGAUCGGCUGUGGGAAGCAAAGCUCAGGGAUCAGAUGAGGCAGCAUGAUCGAUCCCAUGUUCUUGUUCUUGAAACGAGUUGGUGAUUGCUCUUCUAGCUUAGAUCUAUCACGAUGUCCUUCGGACUGUCAUCUUUGAUUCUUACACGCAAUCUUCACCGGAUUACCUUCCAACUCCACUCAUUUCUUGAUCUUGCAACUCAAAUCCCUGUGUCAGAGAUCUACUCGAUUGUGCUGAAGAGAUAAGAACCGUACGGUCUACUAAAUAAGACGCGCAUUCAUGUAGACUGUGAGAUUCCUCCGCCCUAUUGGCCACCGCCUUGGCUCCACUACACCCCUGCCCUCCCCUCCGCCCCGCUGCGCCCCCACCUCACACCUCUCCGCAUCGCCCUCAACUCCAUCCGCCUCCAUGCCGCCUUUGCCACCCGACGCAACCCCCUUCCUCUCGCCCGCCCUUGCCACCUGACUCGUCCUCGUUCCUCCGAAUGAAGGAGUUCGUCUCCUUCCGUUCCUCCGGAAAGAAUUCCUUUAUCAACGCCUUCCUUUCCUACGGAGGCUUCACGACUUCGAGAACGGAGGUGGAGGAGGGCGACGGAGGGGGUAGGGGCAAGGAAGAGAACGCCACACCUCUGAGGGUUCGAGUCGGGUGGCGAGGGUGUGGAGGCGAUGGCCCGACGAAGAGGAUCGAGUUGGGUGGCGAGGGCGGCAUGGAGGCCGAGGGGGGUCAUGGCCGAGGGUGGAGAGGGAAGACAUCAACGGAGAAAUUCCUUCAAAUGAAGGGAACCGACGGAAGUCCUUCCUUUGGAGGACCAGGGUCGAGUCGGAUGCUGAGGGCGGUGUGGAGGAGAAGGCCGUCGAGGGUGGAAGGACAGUGGCGCCGACCACGGUAGGACAGAG